AACCGUUGAAUUUAAAAGAACCAACUCUCAGCCUUCUGAUUCUGCCGUUUGUCCAUUUGCCCUCUCAGACGUACGCCACCAAUGGCGGCUGCUCACAAGCUCGGGGUGAUCUUCAGAAACCCCUCUAACGACGCCGAAUUUCUCCUCUACAGACAGCCGCGGCCCCCGAAGUUCGGGGAAGGGGGGGACUACGACCUCUACUCCGACUCCGAUCUCUGGGACUUGCCCUCUACCACUGAAUUGAACCCCAUCGCAGCAGGAGUGGUCGAGCCUCCGAUUCUGGUGCAAGGCGUAGAAAUCUGAUCGGAGAAGAUAGACUUCAGACGAUUCGACCUGAACUCUGCUUUGAUUUCGUGAUCUUUCAUGGGCCCGACAGGUUCUGGGGCGUGUUGGUUUAGGGGUUGCCGACGUGGGGGACUGGAAGUUCUUCAAGUGUGUGGAAGAAGCAGAGUUUGGACCGGGGCCACCUAUCAAUUUCGUGUUUGUUGAGGCGAAAUUGCUGCACAAGAACCCGAUUUUACGAGAGCAUUGUAAAUGGAUGUCUAUACAUACUUGUCGGGAAUGGCUUGUGAAUGUGAAACCGGGUGGUGUUCGAGUUGGACUCUUGGCAGUUAUUGGUCUAAUAAAUGAAUCCACAGAACCGACAAAAUUUCAACUGACAUCAACCAUAAGAUUUCAGGAGUACCCUCCCGGUGUUGUUGUUAUACCAAUGAGAAGUAAGACAGCAAAGCCUUUUCACACCACAAAUUUGGUCGUGUGUGCUCCUGAAAAUGAUUCAGGGGAAUGCAAAGACAGUAGUUUUGUCGCUUCCGGUGAUGCACUAAUAGUGGAUCCGGGAUGCCGGUCCGAAUCUCUUGAAGAGCUCAGGGAAAUCGUGGCUGCUUUGCCAAGAAGAUUGAUCGUUUUUGCCUCCCACCAUCACCGUGAUCAUAUUAAUGGGCUCUCGGUUAUCCAAAAAACAAAUCCUGACUCCAUCCUAUUAGCACACAAAAGCACCAUGUCUCGUAUUCAUAAAGUUGAUGGUUAUUGAACUAUUGUCUACAGCAACUGGACAGCUAUGCAAUUUACCACUGUAAAUCCCACUCAUACGUCAUGUUAUUUUGCCUUUUCUUUUUGUAAUAAUAGUCAGUGCCCCUGCAACAAGAUACAUAAAUGUGAAUUGUUAACAAUAGUAUAUAUCCUCUCGUGGUGCGAACAUGAUGUUCUCUUCAGCCCUCACAACAGGGAAUCUUUAUCGUCAUCAUCAACUGAUAAGAGGGCAAUGCAGCUUUACUCUACUUCAUAGGUAGAGGUCUGUGAAAUUUUAUUUCUUUGUUGUGAUGGGCCCUCCUGAGCAUUUUUUGAUCUUUCUUUCUUGCACUAACACCUCAAUUGGCAGUUCAAUGUGAUAAAGUGAUUCCAAACUAACAGAUGUCAUGUUUGUACACUGCUGUAGGCUUUGAUUCGAAGCUGUUAGGCUGUCCUCGGCAAAAGUUUGGUAACUUAUAGCCCAUUAUAUAUUUACAUGAAAAUUUUGACAAAGAUCGCCUGAACACCUGUAUGUUAUAACACGUUAAUGGUCAUUUGCAUGCAAAAUCCUUUGAUAAGGUAUGAUUUAUUUGGGCAGCAGGAACUCAUAGAGGCACUGUUACAUCAUGACCUCCCUUUGUAUAUGGUACCCUUCAAUACCAGAGGUCUCGUGUUCUGUAAAACUGACGUAUGAGUUGCUACAUAAGUGAUAACGGGGGGAAGUUAACGGGCCUUUUGACCAAUUCGACUCAUAUGCAGAAGGACUAUCGGCCGAUCCGUUCAUCAGAACAGCCUUCUAUCUUUGGAAGAAGCUCGAAACUUGUUGACCGAUUUCCAACGCAUAUCCUCCACAGAUGUUUCAAUGCCCUUCCAUGCUCCAUCAUUUUCUUUGUUCUACCUGUCUCUCUUUCCAGUGUGCGCAACGUAAAGGAAACUUUUGAUGCAUUAGUUAUUUUGGCAUCCGUUGAAUUUUCUGAUGAAAGAUCCGAUGAUCAUAGACAGAAUCUGAAGUUUAUUUGUGCUGGCUCUUCUAUUGUGCUAUUGCCUUAUAGCGGUGGAUUAUUUGGAUCCGAGUCAUUUGACGAAUAAUCUGUAGCCGCAUUCAUUUCGAUAAUCAAUGAGAUGCACAGAUUUGUUGACUCCAAAAGAGAAUAGAUCUUCACAGAACUCAGUCACCCCCUUUAAACAUCACCCAAACUGUUCAGAGACUACCUGCACGUUGAAGUAAAUUGUAAUCCAUGGUUCAGGUCAGACGACAGCUUGUCAAUGCAAGUGGGCAAGUGAAAUCAAGUACAGGAUAUGAAAAAUCAAACAACGGGUUCUCUUAGCAAAGUUCAACCUUUGACAUUCUCCGUUCUCUAUGGAACCGAGAGAUUAGCGAAGAAAAGGUCCAGAAGUGGCUUAAUGCAGGAACAACUGCGAGGAAGUUGUUGAGCGAGGAGUGGAGAGUCGUUUCCAAUGGAUGGAUCCCCAACCCGACGACCUGCUAUGACAUAGGCCAAGAGGCAAAGAAGAUCGGGCUUGCUAUCCCGGAUUUCCAUCAACGCAACCGAACAGGAGUAAUCAUCGAGUUCUGCUAGCUUUUCGAGCAGCUGCAAAACUUUGAUAGAAGACAUUGUUAUCCCAGGCGACACGGAGAAGAAAUCAAAUUCAUCUGAAGGGAGAAACCAUCACGCCCAGAUGGUUGUACGAAGAGGAGAUGUGGGAUUUAUAUGUAAUUUUCACGGUUCUCAUUAGUAGUUAAAACUUAAAACUUGUGAACGGCAUACGGUAAUUAUUAGAUAAACAAAAACAACUUGCGAUUUAUUAUUAAUUCAAAAAAUUGAUUUACAGAUGGGGUCCAGGUGCAAAGCAAA